AUUUCAUGUGUAUUAUGUUUCAUUUACAUAUUAUAAAUAUGUAGCACGGCAGCUGCACAUAUAUUAAAUACAUGACUCAAUAAAUAAUAAAGAAAUAUUGAAUAUGACAAUAGGUAAUACAUUUUAUUCUUUUCUAUUUCUCUCCAUAAGCUUUUAUUUUAUUUAGUUUUUAUGUUUUUCUUUUAUCAAGUGCGAUGUUCCAGUCAUAUUUUACAUUCUCCAACUAAAUAAGAACAAUAAGAGUAUAUAGUGACGAACACAGAAUACAAAUAUAUAUACAUCAUAAUAAAUCAAAAGAUAUACAUAUAUAUAAAUACAUUAAAGUAAAGAAGAAACUAACUCUAACUCUUAGAUCAUCAGCUGAACACGAUGACAUCAUUGUGGAGUUAGUCAGGACUUAACUUCAUCUCCAUUGUGUUACUGUGGGGGGGGGGGGGGGGUAACUCCUGCCGUGUUGUCUUCACACAGAUUGUUUUCAGAUAUUUGAUGAAGGUGUUUCCCUGCAGGCGUCUCUCCUCUCGGCGCUGCUCGUCUUCAUGUGUGUCGUCUCGUCUCUCUGCCAGGAGGAAUAUUCUGGACACCACUCAGGUGAGGAACACACCUAUGAAGGCUCUGUGGUCGAAAGCUACGACAACAUCGUCUCUCCUCAGCCAGGUGAGUCACUGUCUGCUGUGACCUGAUGACAUGUGACCAGCAAACUAUAAACAUGGAACACAAACUGUAAAGUUAAAGUUAAAAUAUUAACAACAAGAACUUUGUUACACAUGUUUCCACUUUCAAACCCAGAGAAAUGUGUGAUCUACUCACGGGAGAGGUCCAUAAUGCCGUUGUAUCCCCUCAUGCGGAGAGACUGUGGAUAAGACUCCUCGUGGCAGAACAUUACUCAUUGUGCGUUUAACAGUCUCCUCUGUGCCAUCAGAGUAUCCACCGGAGCCGACUCACAGCUACGACGAGGACGCGAGGUCCGGGGAGAGGGAAUACGACCCCUACGGCCUUGAACCCACCCAGGUCACCAUGAUCACCGCGGACGCCUUCCCCUACGCCACCACGGCCGAGUCCCACUACGCCAAGGAGGACACAGAGACCAUGCAGGUCUGUGGGAGCUGUGGGAGUUCUUUACACAAAGUACAAACAGCUGUUAUCACUUGAUUAUCUGGUGGAUUCAAGGUUUGUGCAUAUAAUAAUGUUUUACAAGAACGGCCUGAAGUGUGUUAUUCAAACGGCACCGGCUCAGUGAAGCUGCAUACAUGGAAUACCACGGUGACACGUCUAACAUGAAACCAUGAAGGGCUUUUAAGGUGCGCAGUAAAUAUCAAGUCAGUGAGAGAGAAAGAGGUGCAUAACACACAGUGUGUGUUCACACUUCCCAUGAUGCAAUAGUGUUGUGUUUCAGGUCCCGUACAAGUAUCCUCCAGCAGGACCGGACUCCUCGGAGGAGUCUGGUGAUGACGCAGCGCUCGGGCAGGAGGGGCCGACAGAGUGCGACUGUGAACCCGGUCAGCCUGGGUUCGCUGGCUUUGCGGGACCAAAGGUGAUUAUACCGUCAGUAGAAUUAGAUCAGAGGCUGCGUGGGACGCUUCAGACUCGCGUGUCUAACAACGC
ensembl:lncRNA